rnacentral:rRNA from 1 species
CUACGGGUUGCAGCAGUGGGGAAUAUUGCACAAUGGGCGCAAGCCUGAUGCAGCCAUGCCGCGUGUAUGAAGAAGGCCUUCGGGUUGUAAAGUACUUUCAGCGGGGAGGAAGGGAGUAAAGUUAAUACCUUUGCUCAUUGACGUUACCCGCAGAAGAAGCACCGGCUAACUCCGUGCCAGCAGCCGCGGUAAUACGGAGGGUGCAAGCGUUCAUCGGAAUUACUGGGCGUAAAGCGCACGCAGGCGGUUUGUUAAGUCAGAUGUGAAAUCCCCGGGCUCAACCUGGGAACUGCAUCUGAACUGGCAAGCUUGAGUCUCGUAGAGGGGGGUAGAAUUCCAGGUGUAGCGGUGAAAUGCGUAGAGAUCUGGAGGAAUACCGGUGGCGAAGGCGGCCCCCUGGACGAAGACUGACGCUCAGGUGCGAAAGCGUGGGGAGCAAACAGGAUUAGAUACCCGCGUAGUC